AAAUUAGUACAUGUGACUUCCAAUCACCUUGUCUUGGUUAAAAUCCAAGGAGAGAUA
rnacentral:tRNA from 1 species